rnacentral:tRNA from 1 species
GCCGGCAUAGCUCAGUUGGUAGAGCAACUGAUUUGUAAUCAGUAGGUCCCGGGUUCGACUCCUGGUGCCGGCAUCA